CAGGUGUGAUGGGUGUAUAUGGAGAUAUGCCCAGGGUUACGAAGAGUCUGGAAAAUAGAUGACCAACCAGCAGGCUGGGUUAGGGUGUGGUUUCAGAGAGGAAGCACUGGACUAAGACUUGAAGAAUGCAUUGGAAGAGCAAAUCAGGCAGAAAAGAGGACAGAGUCAUUUUGCUCAAAAGAAACAGCAUGUGCAAAUGUGCCACAACCAUUCAAAGCAAGUUUCUGCUUAAGUCUUGCCCACAACUUUUCAUCUGAAAAGUGGAGUAGCUGAAGCAGCCAAUGCUGGUGGUUGUAAUUCUUGAGGAUGCAACAGUAAGAACGAAAGGAAAUAACCCCUGAAGCCUUUGCAACUAAGGACAAGAAAUGAAAUGCAGCCUUCAACAUUCAAGGCUAUGCUCAAGGAGUCUAACCCUGUGGAUAUGCUGUUGUCAAAUGAGGGAGCUUCGAUUAGCCUGUUGAAGACACACAGACAACCCGACAGGCAAUACCAACCAACAUUCAGAUAUGCAAGUUAUGCUGUCUUAGACCAUGCUGCCCAGGUGAACUUUUAGACAACUGCAAUUUGUGAGUGACUCUAGGCAAGACCAGAAGAAACUUCUAGCUAAAUCUAAACCAAAUGCCAACUUAGAAUUGUAAGCAAAUAAAAUGGUUGUUGUUUAAAGACACUAACUUUUGGGGUGUUUUGCCACACCUCAAUACAUAACUGUUACACUAAUUAUUUUUCAUUGUGAAAUCUUCAGCGUCUUAUUCUGUAAUCAAACCAGAAUGUCCUUGCCUUCUUAGCACUUUGCCACAGUCCAGUGGGGUGAAUAGACAGCAGCUGCUCAUUUAUGCUCAUGCUCAUGUUCAUAAUUUGCAUUUGGACUAAAAGGAGCUCUGUUCUCCAGGACAGAACUAUUCUAAAGCUCUUCAGGAACAGAACAGGAGUCCAUCACAGACAGCGAAAUCAAAAGCGCCCUACAUAGAGGCAUCCAGACUGAGAGCUGAAAGGGAUCUGGGAAAUCAUUUAGUCUCACUCCCUCAUUUUCCAUUCAGGCCACAGAGAUGAAAGAACUUGCUGAAGUUCUCACAGCUCUGUAGUGGCACAGUCAGAACAAGGAUCCCAAUCUCCUAACUACUAACAUAAAAUGCUUUCAGCAUGCAAGUUGAGCAUACAAUGGGACAGUUUAAAUUUAAAUGGUGUUUUGAGCAAGGGGAGAGUCUAAUUAAUUACUUCAAAGUAUAAUUUUGGAGUCACCAGAAAGGCGUUAAAGACAAAAAAAUGCUUUGGAACCUAGGUGCUUCAUAUCUGAAAUUGGGGCAGGUACAGCUGUAUUCCUACCACUAAAGGGUCAUUAGCUGGUUGGGUAGUCCUUUAGUGUUCUUGGUACUAAGCACAAAACAUGGGUAAGAUGGUUCAAGGCUGGUUGGGGUGGCUCAUGCCUAUAGCCCCAGCAUUUUAGGAGGCCAAGGCUGGAGGAUAGCUUGAGCCCAGGAAUUCGAGACUAGCCUGGGCAAUAUCGCAAGACCUUGUCUCUACAAAUAAUAAUUUUUUAAGAAUUGGCUGGGCAUGGUGGCACACACCUUUAGGCCCAGCUAUUUGAGAGGUUGAGGUGGGAGGAUUGCUUUAGUGUGGGAGGCUGAGGCUGCAAUGAGGUGAUCACACUAUGGUACUACAGCCUGAGAAACAGUGCAAGAUCCUGCCUUAAAAAAAAAAAAGUUUAUGUUCUCAAAGUGCUCAUAAUCUAGUGGUAGUACAGUAUUUGAGAUAUUAGAGCAGUUUCUCCUCCUUUUGCAACUAAGGACAUGUAUCCUUAAAGCAGAAGGAAUGGCAGAAUCGUGUAAUAAACCCUCAAGUACCGUUACUUAGCUUCAACAACUAUCGACACUCUACUGUUCUUGUUUCAUUUAUGCCUCACCUCCUUCCCAUCCCCCACUUGAAUAUUCUCAUCCUUUUUUUUACAGUUUUUAAGAUAACAUUUACAUAACUGAAAUGCACAAAUCUUAGCUGUACACUUUUGACAUAUGGAUACACCUGUGUAACCAAUGACUGUAUCACAACAU
rnacentral:lncRNA from 1 species